rnacentral:rRNA from 1 species
UACAGAGGUCCCGAGCGUUGUUCGGAUUUAUUGGGCGUAAAGGGUGCGUAGGUGGCAAAGUAAGUUGGAUGUGAAAUCCUGGGGCUCAACCUCAGAAUUGCAUUCAAUACUGCUUAGCUAGAGAGCUGUAGAGGAGACUGGAAUUUACGGUGUAGCAGUGAAAUGCGUAGAUAUCGUAAGGAACGCCAGUGGCGAAAGCGAGUCUCUGGGCAGCAUCUGACACUGAGGCACGAAGGCCAGGGGGGCAAACGGG